GAUGAACGCUGGCGGCGUGCUUAACACAUGCAAGUCGAACGAAGCUGCUUAACUGAUCUUCUUCGGAAUUGACGUUUUGUAGACUGAGUGGCGGACGGGUGAGUAACGCGUGGGUAACCUGCCCUGUACAGGGGGAUAACAGUCAGAAAUGACUGCUAAUACCGCAUAAGACCACAGCACCGCAUGGUGCAGGGGUAAAAACUCCGGUGGUACAGGAUGGACCCGCGUCUGAUUAGCUGGUUGGUGAGGUAACGGCUCACCAAGGCGACGAUCAGUAGCCGGCUUGAGAGAGUGAACGGCCACAUUGGGACUGGGACACGGCCCAAACUCCUACGGGAGGCAGCAGUGGGGAAUAUUGCACAAUGGGGGAAACCCUGAUGCAGCGACGCCGCGUGAGUGAAGAAGUAUCUCGGUAUGUAAAGCUCUAUCAGCAGG
rnacentral:rRNA from 1 species